AGGUCAUCAUCAGCAGCAGCAGCAGAGGAACUUCAUACAAGAGAUUCAAUGUUACUGUCUAUGCUCGUCUGCCUGUUCCUGACAUCAUCAUAGACUCAGCACGAUGUUCUUCAUUAUUCUCACCAAGCUCAAAAUGUGUGUUGUUGUGUUCAGUGUUGAAUGUGAGAGAUGUGAGUCUGUCCUGGUACAAAGGAAACAGUUUAUUGUCCAGAAUCAGUGUGUCUGAUUUCAAGAUCAGACUCUCUCUACCUCUGGAGGUAAAAUAUCAGACUACAAACACAUACAGCUGUGUACUAAACAAUACCAUCACAAACCAAACUCAACAUCUCAACAUCAAUCAUGUCUGUCAGACAUGUUCAGAACUCCAGCAUUCAAUAUUGUGGAAAGCUAUUGUUGUUGGUUUUUGUGCUGCUACUCUGUGGCUGUCAAUCAUCUUGGGUUUAGUCAUAGGUGUGUUGUGCCACCACUACAACAAAGUGAAAUAAUCAAAGAAG